rnacentral:tRNA from 1 species
GCACCUGUAGCUCAAUGGAAUAGAGCGCAGUGCUACGAACGCUGGUCUGUUAUGGGUUCGAGUCCCUUCAGGUGUA